rnacentral:ribozyme from 1 species
UUAUUAACUCCGCCUGUAGCUCUUAUAGGGUUGCUGCCGGUCCCAAGCCCGGGUAAAGGAGGAGGGUUGG